rnacentral:lncRNA from 1 species
UCUAUCUCUCUAUCUCUGGUUCUAUCUAAAACCUUUCCCCUCCCCUCCUAUCCGAUGAGCCUUUCAUCUUGUCCGGCUACCUCUUGGCCUAAAUCCAUGGUGGUUUCACCACCCACCAGCUUCCUAUGGAUCCUCACGCUUGGUUACUGAAGUUUCAUGACUUGACCACGAAGAGUUCGGCCCAGAUCUUUGUCGAUUCAAGUCCCACGGCCAUCUCCGGCCUUGCUCUGGUAAGCCGUGUCUGUUCGAGCCUGGCCUCAACUCCUCCUUCUUAGAUCUAGGCCUUUCUCACUGUUUGGGUUCCUCUGAAACCCUAGCGCUUAAGGUUUUUCUGAUCACUGUAGAUCUGUUCCAGAUCCAUAUUUUUCCUAAGCUUCUAAAAGAUUUUCUGAUAUUUCUUUGAAAAGUUAUGCUUUCAAAACCUUUAUUUUCCGAUCUAGAGUUUUGAGUUAUGUUUCUCUGAUUUUCUUGAGUGUUUCUAUGAUUUUCUUCUUCUCUUGUGUGUUUUUCUACUACGUCUCUCCUACUGUGUUCUUGUUAAAGUUUCUUCUACCACGUUCUUCUGCUAUGUUUCUCUUACCGUUCUCUCGUUAAGAUCCUCCUACCGUGUUCCUAUUUGUUUCUUCUACUAGUUCUUCUACUAUUGUUUUGCAUUUUACUUUUUACUAUGUUUCUCAUGAAUUUCUAUUACUGAAGGAACAUGUUAAAUGGUCUCAAUUCCUUUCUGAGAUCUCUAAACCUGUUUCAAGUAGUAUCAUUUCCCCUAAUUACUUUCCCUUUUGUCUCUGCACUCGGUUAAUGGCAAGAACCUUAAAUUUGGGGGUUCAUCCGAGUUUUGAGACCCCUGGCUAUGUUAUUUCCUGUCUCUUCAUCUCUGAACUUGUCUGAUUCCAAAAACCCUAAUUUUCGGACCUAUUUGAGUGCCUAAAAUUGUUUCAUCUACUGCUUUAUUAAAUUUCAAAAUCAUUGUUUCAAUUUUGUUUCUUCAUAUGAUUCUGACUUUUGCCAAUCUCUAUAAAACCUUUUACUUUAUCCCUUCUCGCAUGCCUGAUACUUGUGUACUCUUUAUAUGUGCUAUACUUCCCCUCUAAAAUGGCUUUCAAAUUUUGAAUAGUUUCAGACUUCCUUUUGUAUAGGUUUGACUGAUUUCUUUCCUUGUUUGCUGAUUUCCCUAUGACUCAAAAGUUUUCCUUAGCUUUUCUGACUUGGUUCAUUUAUGGACCAAUACUUACAAAAUCUUUGACCCCCUGAUUUACAGCAUACUGGGAGAUUCUUACCUUAUUUGUUUUAACCAUGUAUUUCAAAACCCUUCCCUUAAUUAAAACCCCUAUGUAUUUACCCCUAAUUACCUACUUUGCACAAGAUGUUUAUUUGAUUCCUUUCCCUAAAUAGCUUUUACCGUUUAAGUUUGAAUUCUGUUAUUAAGGGAAGUCUUGUAUUGAUUGAUUUUAAUUGAUAUUCAGUACCUUAAUUAUUUUCUUACCAUGUUUCACCAUGUUCUUCCCACUAUAAAUACCUGCUCCUUAUUGACACAAACACACCAUCACUCAUAGUUUUUCUGAAAUUACAUUUACACGCAAUAGCAUUCUCUCUUAUUGUCUGUACCGUGGCCUAUUUACAAGACCUACUGCUUUUCUCUGUUUGUUUCUUUAAAACUGGUAUGUCCUGAUUUAAGCUUUAGCACCACAACAAAGUGUUUAUUUACUACUUUUGUAUCUAUGUCUACUUACUAUUUCUGUAUAGUUCAACACUUACUUUAGCAUGCUGAUUUCUUCCUUCUUGUUCUAUUAUGAAUCCCAAACCCCUGCCCCCUAUGUGUUUGAGCUAUGGCUUAAAGCAUGGCAAUAUGCAAAUUAUUGUCCGUGAAUUAAACUUGAUCCCUUGGGAUCCUAGCCUCUAAAUAGUGUGUUCUAACAGGCUUAUGGGUAUGCUAGCAUUCUCCAUUGUUGGGCAUGCCGACAUGCUGCCUUUGCCUCUUUCAGUUUCCCUAUUCCCCCGAACUCCUUAUAUGUACUUAUUUCUGCUCUUUCCCUCUCCUUUUCCCCUUUUAGAGUUUUGUUUCUGCACUUGCACACUCUCUUAGUCUUUAAGUUUUGACCCCUCUUGUGAGCAUUGCCUUGAGACCCUUUGAGCUCCCUCUAAACUUGGACACUUGAUGGUUGGUCUUUCCACACUGCACUUGUCCUAAUCUGAUAAUACAUUUGGGUGUGAGCAUUGUCCGGAGUCGUUUUUAAGGCGCUUAGGUAACUUUGACACACUCAAAUGGGGGAAAGAUUUUGGAUCAUGAUCUCUUAGAGUUAGUUUACAUCAUAUUUCAGACAUGAAGUCUGAAUCAGGAUCUCCUUGGUUGUACUUUUAAUUUCUGAUGUAUUCUUUCAGUCUAUUCUAGGCCGUAAUAAUUUAUAAUAAACUCUUGGGGAUGGCUAGUAAAAAGGGCGGGUAACUAUGUAUGUAAAGGGUAGAUAUCAUACCUUUAUGUAUUUCUGAAUCCUGCAUCCUCACAUAGAUAUCAUGUUUAUACGUAUUUCUGAAUUCUGCAUUCUCUCAUAUAAAAAUCACGUCCAUAAGUAUCUGGAAAUUCGAAUUCUGCGCAUGCAUAUAAAAAAUAUGCC